rnacentral:rRNA from 1 species
GAUGAACGCUGGCGGCGUGCCUAAUACAUGCAAGUCGAGCGAACGGACGAGAAGUUUGCUUCUCUGAUGUUAGCGGCGGACGGGUGAGUAACACGUGGAGAACCUACCUAUAAGACUGGGACAACUUCGGGAAACCGGAGCUAAUACCGGAUGAUAUUUUGAACCGCACAGUUCAAAAGUGAAAGACGGUCUUGCUGUCACUUAUAGAUGGAUCCGCGCUGCAUUAGCUAGUUGGUAAGGUAGCGGCUUACCAAGGCAACGAUGCAUAGCCGACCUGAGAGGAUGGUCGGCCACACUGGCACUGAGGCACGGUCCAGACUCCUACGGGAGGCAACAGUAGGGAAUCUUCCGCAAUGGGCGAGAGCCUGACGGAGCAACACCGCGUGAGUGAUGAAGGUCUUCGGAUCGUUGAGCUCUGUUGUUAGGGAAGAACAUAUGUGUAAGUCACUGUGCACAACUUGACGGUACCUAAUCAGAAAGCCACGGCUAACUACGUG